rnacentral:rRNA from 1 species
UGGGGAAUAUUGCACAAUGGGCGCAAGCCUGAUGCAGCGACGCCGCGUGGGGGAUGACGGCCUUCGGGUUGUAAACUCCUUUCGCUAGGGACGAAGCUUUUUGUGACGGUACCUAGAUAAGAAGCACCGGCUAACUACGUGCCAGCAGCCGCGGUAAUACGUAGGGUGCGAGCGUUGUCCGGAAUUACUGGGCGUAAAGGGCUCGUAGGUGGUUUGUCGCGUCGUCUGUGAAAUUCCGGGGCUUAACUCCGGGCGUGCAGGCGAUACGGGCAUAACUUGAGUACUGUAGGGGUAACUGGAAUUCCUGGUGUAGCGGUGAAAUGCGCAGGUAUCAGGGGGAACACCGAUGGGGAAGGCAGGUUACUGGGCAGUUACUGACGCUGAGGAGCGAAAGCAUGGGUGGCGAACAGG